GAACAGUAGGAAUCACAAAAUACACUGUAACUGAAAAUCGCACUUUGCUGAGUUCGUUUUCGCACUUCUUCAUACGAUUUUUUUUCUGUUCGACUCUGUUUACCAAAAAAAAAUGUGGAUUUUCAGUUACAGUGUAGAUUGUAUCCGAGGAGUUGGAGGAGUCCUGUCGAAAAUAAUUAUUAAUCGAUAAUCUGCAUUUUUUUGAAGUUGGACUCAAAAAAAAACACAAGUUCGUGAAAAAUCCUUCCUGCACUGUGCAUUGUGUCUUUUUUUGGCAAUAUAAUUUGAUAAGAAAGAGAAUUCCCACGCUAUUGAUUUUCCGAAGAAAUACUACCUCGCGACAAAGGGGCAAUUUAGCGAGAUCUGGUACAGCUGGUGCAAGGAGUACAAACAGCUGUCCCAAGACAAAGGAUGCUGGCACUUCCGAAUUCUGAAGGAACCCGGAAGGAAGGUUUGGUUCAAGCACAAGCAACUAACAUCAGUACAAAUCAAAGCCCUGAACAGAAUACGAAGUGGCCACACGCUAACGAAAGAAAGAAGAGCAUUAUGGCGUCUGGAGCUGGACAAUCUGUGUGAGACAUGCGAGGAGAAAGAGGAUCUGAAUCAUCUUUUAUAUUACUGCCCGAGAUUAAACAAUAUCAGAUCUGAGUAUCAAGUACUGGAGUACAUGAAGCCGCUAGAAGAAAUCCUCGUGGACGAGUGUGAGGAAGGAAUGAAACAAGUAGUCAACUUCAUCAAGGAGGCAAAGAUACAAAUCUAAGCACAACAACACGACAACCCAACAACCAAGCAAACAAGAGACAACGUAGGCGAGUUGGAUCAACUGUGGUCUUAGCCUUACCCCCCA